AUCAAUAAAAUAAUUUAUCGUUUGCAAGAUUAAACGAAUAGUUCACGAUGAGGCCAGAUUUCUAUAUAUCGAUAUUUUUAUGUAUUUUUGGAGUUUCACGUUCGCAACAACAAGAAUCGCUAGGGUCGUCUGGAAAGCUUGAAUCUUGUAAUGUCGUUUGCAAUUGUGGAGUAGGAGAUAAGUCUCCCGAAAACGGCGGAACCUAUCGGGGAGAACCUGGGCCACCAGGUAAAAAAGGACCACCUGGAAUAUUGGCCUACGAGGAGAGAAGGGCGAUCAGGGACCAAUUGGAAUACCAGGCUAUGACGGCACAGAUGCCAACGAAAAAAGAGUGAGAACUGAUGUUUUAAAUACCUUGGGUCUGAAGUCAUGCAAAGAACUGGAAAGAAAUGGCAUUCUCAAGACUGGAUAUUAUCUUAUGCGGGGUCCUUCAAACCACACCUGUGUUCAACUACUGCGAUUUUCGAAUAUAUUCGGGUAA